UAAGUAGAUAGUGAAAGCGUGUGGCUUAACCAUAUACACAUUAUCUAAACUGCUAAGCUAGAGGAUGAGAGAGGUUAUUGGAAUUCCCAGUGUAGGAGUGAAAUCCGUAGAUAUUGGGAGGAACACCGAUGGCGUAGGCAGAUAACUGGCUCAUUCCUGACACUAAGGCACGAAAGCGUGGGAGCAAACGGGAUUAGAUACCCCGGUAGUCCACGCCGUAAACGAUGGAUGCUA
rnacentral:rRNA from 1 species